AGAAGUAGGUAAGAAAAAAGAAAAAAAGAAAGAAAAAGACAUGCUGUUGUUGAUGUGUGGGCUUCUUCGACUUCACCCUCUUCUUCUUUCUCCUCGCCGCCCUUUUCAUUGUCCUCUCUUUUCCUUU
rnacentral:ribozyme from 13 species